rnacentral:rRNA from 1 species
UACGGGGGGGGCAAGCGUUGUUCGGAAUUACUGGGCGUAAAGGGCUCGUAGGCGGCCAACUAAGUCAGACGUGAAAUCCCUAGGCUCAACCUAGGAACUGCGUCUGAUACUGGAUGGCUUGAAUCCGGGAGAGGGAUGCAGAAUUCCAGGUGUAGCGGUGAAAUGCGUAGAUAUCAAGAGGAACACCUGAGGUGAAGACGGGUUGCUGGGCUGACACUGACGCUGAGGCGCGAAAGCUAGGGGAGCGAACAGG